UACGUAGGGUCCGAGCGUUGUCCGGAAUUACUGGGCGUAAAGAGCUCGUAGGUGGUUUGUCGCGUUGUUCGUGAAAACUCACAGCUCAACUGUGGGCGUGCGGGCGAUACGGGCAGACUAGAGUACUGCAGGGGAGACUGGAAUUCCCGGUGUAGCGGUGAAAUGCGCAGAUAUCGGGAGGAACACCGGUGGCGAAGGCGGUUCUCUGGGCCUUACCUGACGCUGAGGAGCGAAAGCGUGGGGAGCGAACAGG
rnacentral:rRNA from 1 species